AACGAACGUUAGCGGCGCGCCUAACACAUGCAAGUCGCACGAGAAAGGGCUUCGGCCCCGGUAAAGUGGCGCACGGGUGAGUAACACGUAGGUAAUCUACCUCUUAGUUGGGGAUAACCCUCCGAAAGGAGGGCUAAUACCGUAUGAGACCACGGGUCCUUUGGUCCUGAGGCAAAAGCAGGCCUCUUCAUGAAAGCUUGCGCUAAGAGAUGAGCCUGCGGCCCAUCAGCUUGUUGGCGGGGUAAAAGCCCACCAAGGCUAAGACGGGUAGCUGGUCUGAGGGGAUGAACAGCCACACUGGAACUGAGACACGGUCCAGACUCCUACGGGAGGCAGCAGUGGGGAAUCUUGCGCAAUGGGCGAAAGCCUGACGCAGCGACGCCGCGUGAGCGAUGAAGGCCCUCGGGUCGUAAAGCUCUGUGGGGAGAGAAGAAUAAGGCUUGGUUAAUAUCCAAGUUGAUGACGGUAUCUCCUUAGCAAGCACCGGCUAACUCUGUGCCAGCAGCCGCGGUAAGACAGAGGGUGCAAACGUUGUUCGGAAUCACUGGGCGUAAAGCGCGUGUAGGCGGCAACGCAAGUCGGGUGUGAAAGCCCACGGCUCAACCGUGGAAGUGCAUUCGAAACUG
rnacentral:rRNA from 1 species